GGUGGGUAAGGACGGUGCCAGCCGCCGCGGUAAUACCGGCGCCUCAAGUGGUAGUCGCUUUUAUUGGGCCUAAAACGUCCGUAGCCGGUCUGGUACAUUCGUGGGUAAAUCAACCCGCUCAACGGGUUGAAUUCUGCGAGCACGGCCAGACUUGGGACCGGGAGAGGUGUGGGGUACUCUCAGGGUAGGGGUAAAAUCCUGUCAUCCUGAGAGGACCACCUGUUGCGAAGGCGCCACACUAGAACGGAUCCGACGGUCAGGGACGAAACCUAGGGGCACGAACCGGAUUAGAUAUCCGGGUAGUCCUAGGUGUAAACGCUGUGGACUUGAUGUUGGGGGCGCUCCGAGCGCUCUCAGUGUCAAAGCGAAGGUGAUAAGUCCACUGCCUGGGGAGUACGGUCGCAAGGCUGAAACUUAAAGGAAUUGGCGGGGGAGCACUGCAACCUGAGGAUUGUGCGGUUU
rnacentral:rRNA from 1 species